rnacentral:lncRNA from 12 species
AGCCAAAAGUUACGUAAUUGGUUAAAGUAAUUGCAGGCCAUUUCUGGGUAAAUCCUUUCAAGGCUUGGUUGAACUGUUUCAUGUAAAUUGUUCUAAAUAAGAGCUGGGUUCUGUGGUUGGGAUCGGAGAAUCUGUUGAACAAGUCAGACAUAGAUCUUGUCAUUAUGGAAUUCACAGUCCAGUGGAGAACACAGAUAAUUAAGCAGAUACAAUACCAUGUGGUUAUUGCAGGUGAAUGAACUCAUAUAUGACAUGUGGAAUAGCAGGUCAGAAAAGCUGUGACUCUUUCAGUUUUGGCUCCAAGUCCAAGUUAUGUUUCUUACACUACAUGGCCUCUUUUGUAUGGUAAUUACUUCACCAAAUUAUCCAGUACUGACCUAUCUGUGAACCUCAUUUUUUCUCUUUUUCCCUUCUUCUCAGGAGCGUGUGUGAUGAAAGCAAAAUUAAUGACAGAGGCAGGCACAACCAAGCCUAACUGCCAAAAUUCAAGAAUCCUAGUGAAGGGCCAUGCACACUCUGGCUUUCUUAUCACCUCAUCUUUGAAGAGAAAGAAACACUGCUGAGAGCUCAUUUCUUCUGCCUCUAGCCAGUUACUGAAAACGGUAAAAUGGAAGAGUGGCAGAGCCAGAAAAAGAAGCCGCCUUGACUCUGCCAAGCUAGUGCUCCUGCUGCCAAUCGCAACUCUUUGUGUGUAGACAGUCUGUGCAGCAGACUAGGACCCGCUUCAAGUACCGCAUCUGCCUGGGGCUCUUUCCCAGUAUAGUUUACUGCUCUCCAUCCUACCCUGAAGGAUAUCACCUCCCUGAUUCCUUCCCAAGCCUCCAUGACAGCUUCCUGUCAAGUGACUCUCCCCCACAAGUCUUUUCUGACAAAUCUCAGAGAUGCAACAGCUGGUCACCCUUCAAGACUUGCACAUGUCUCUGUUGCCACCCCUUUUGGAUGCCAAGCUAUAAGACUUGAACUACUCCAUGGAGGAAGACUGCACACCAAAUAGGAACAGAAGUAUGGAAGCUUGCACAAAUGAGGAAUAAGCUUUUAUUGGGUUAUUGAAAUUUGGAAUGUAUUGAUUAUAGCAGUGAGUGUUAUUCUAAUACAAUCUACAAUAAGGCUCUAUCCUUGGGAUCUCAUUGAGAAAACACAAGUUAUACUAUCCUGGGGUCCAUUGCUUUGUUUCUUUACAGAAUACCAAAUCUAAUUCAUUUGAAUCCAUUGCCAUUUAUGUUGCCUUUAUGAGAGUAUUUUUCAAAAAAGAUCAAUGAAAUAAAACCGUAAAAUUCAUGAGGCUAUUCCA